rnacentral:rRNA from 1 species
UACGGGGGGAGCAAGCGUUGUUCGGAUUUACUGGGCGUAAAGGGCGCGUAGGCGGCCACCGCAGGUCGACUGUGAAAUCUCCGGGCUUAACUCGGAAAGGUCAGCCGAUACUGCGGGGCUAGAGUGCAGAAGGGGCAACUGGAAUUCUCGGUGUAGCGGUGAAAUGCGUAGAUAUCUGGAGGAACACCGGUGGCGAAGGCGGCAUGCUGGACCAACACUGACGCUGAGGAGCGAAAGCCAGGGGAGCAAACGGG